rnacentral:rRNA from 1 species
GAUGAACGCUAGCGGCAGGCCUAACACAUGCAAGUCGAGGGGUAGAGUUAGCUUGCUAACUUGAGACCGGCGCACGGGUGCGUAACGCGUAUGCAAUCUACCUUGUACAGGGGGAUAACCCAGAGAAAAUUUGGAUUAAUACCCCAUGAUGUUUAGAAGUGGCAUCACUUUUUUACUAAAGUUCCAACGGUACAAGAUGAGCAUGCGUCCCAUUAGCUAGUUGGUAUGGUAACGGCAUACCAAGGCUAUGAUGGGUAGGGGUCCUGAGAGGGAGAUCCCCCACACUGGUACUGAGACACGGACCAGACUCCUACGGGAGGCAGCAGUGAGGAAUAUUGGUCAAUGGUCGCAAGACUGAACCAGCCAUGCCGCGUGCAGGAAGACGGUCCUAUGGAUUGUAAACUGCUUUUAUACAGGAAGAAACCCUCUCACGUGUGGGAGCUUGACGGUACUGUAUGAAUAAGCAUCGGCUAACUCCGUGCCAGCCGCCGCAGUAAGAC